rnacentral:rRNA from 1 species
AUUUAAUUUAGAGUGAACAAAGUUAUAAAAUAUAAACCAUUAAAAAUAUAUUAAAGAUUAGUAAUGUUAAAGAAUUUCAAAUAAAAAUGAUAGUGUAAAAGUACCGUAAGAGAAAGGUUUAAUUAAAACUAAAUCAAAAAAGUAGUGAGGUCACGUACCUUUUGUAUCAGGGACUAAUAAUUUUAAAAGUUAAUUUACUUAAAUCUCGAAACAAUUAGAGCUACUUUGUAAAUAUUAUUUCUGUAUUAAAAAAAUAUUAUAUUUCAAGGUUGUAGUGAAAUGCUAGACGAAAAUUGUAUACCUAGUUCUUUUUGAAUAAAGUUUAAUUUUAUAGUUAAUUAAAACAAAUUAACAGUAUAAAAUAGAAGGUAAGAGCUUUUUAUUAAAAAUAAAAAUAACCAAAUUAGUUUAAUAAAUCUAAUUUUGCUUAAGAACAGCAAUAUUUAUAUAACGUUCCAGUUAAGAUUAAACAAAUCAUUGAAUUUAUAAGUGGUUUUAUGCUUAUAAAAAAGAAUAAAGUUGGAUUUUACAACUUUAAUUAUAAUAUUAGUAUUAGUAGAAAUUAAAAUUUGAAAUUUAACCCAAGUAAAAAAUUUCAAAUAUAUUUAAUAAUAAAUAUUAAUAGAAAGGAAUUCGGCAAAUAUUAACUUCUGCCUGUUUAUCAAAAACAUGUCUAUGUGAAAAAAUGCAAAGUCUGGCCUGCCCACUGAGAUUAUUAAAGGGCCGCGGUAUAUUGACCGUGCGAAGGUAGCGUAAUCAGUAGUCUUUUAAUUGAAGGCUUGAAUGAAAGGUCGGACAAGAAGUAAGCUGUCUCUUUAUUAAGUUUUUAAGUUUACAUUUAAGUGAAAAGGCUUAAAUAAAAUGAAGGGACGAUAAGACCCUUUAAAACUUUACUUACAGGAGUAAAAUUUUUUAAAUUAAAUAAUAAAAGUAAUUAUGCUUUGUAAGUUAUGCUGGGGCGGCAGAGAUAUAACCUGUAACUGUCAUUUGAAUAAAAUAAAUAUAGUUAGACAUUGAUCCUCAACUAGAGAUUAUAAGAUUAAGUUACUUUAGGGAUAACAGCGUAAUUUUCUUUGAGAGUCCAUAUCGACAAGAAUAGUUGCGACCUCGAUGUUGAAUUAAGAUUUCUAUCAAGUGCAGCAGCUUGAAUAGUAGGUCUGUUCGACCUUUAAAAUCUUACAUGAUUUGAGUUCAAACCGGUGCAAGCCAGGUUGGCUUCUAUCUUUCAUUAUAAUAUAAAUUAAUUUAGUACGAAAGGAUUAAUUAAUUAAAAAAGUUUUUAAUUUCUGAAUAAAUUUAAAUCAUUUUGGCAGAAAAAAUGCAUU